GUGGUUGUGGCUCAGUGGUAGAGUGCUUGCCUUGUAUAUAUGAGUCACUGGGUUCAAGUCUCAGCACUGCA
rfam:Ictidomys tridecemlineatus contig138289, whole genome shotgun sequence.